CAUAAGCAAUGACCAAAAAGAGGGAGAGUUUGCAAAUAAAAAUGACCGGAGUGGAAAAUAAGGUGGUGAUGCCAGAAACUCAGGAAAUGGUGAAAGAUAAGCAACACAGGGACCGCCUCCAACCACGGAGAGCUUGCUCUGACACUGGCACACACAUGGCGCAGGGCAGACCGAGGACCCACACGCCAGUUCGUAAGGUGGUUGCGUCUCUGCUGGUGCAUCCUACACGUAGCAGAGUCGAGGGGGGCGCUGCGCGGGGGCCUUAUUCGGGGCCCACCCAGCACCCAGAACAGCAGAUGGUGCCCCUCCAGAGCACAAUGAGGAUGAAACAAGCCCGUAGGCCACAGGCUCCUGGGACAGCAGUGGGCACGUGGUAGGCGCGAUUCCACUGGCCUAAAGCCAGGGCCCUUUCUGUCUGUACUUCCCUUGCUCCAGGAAGAGUCCUAAGCCCCAUGUCACCCUCGGGCACUUUCCCGCAGGCCCCGGCUCCUCUGUCCAUGGCCUCCUUGGCACUCCCUGCGAUACCCCUCAGUGCCCUUUGGACACGUGCUCUUCAGAGCAUCUGAGCUGCGGCCCGCGAGCACAUCCGACUCGGGGGUGUGGUGCUUUGGGGGAUGGGCAGGCCCUGGGGCAAACUGCUGACCUUGUGCAGCUGUGGGGAAACCCCAGCAGGUGGAACAGGCCCUAGCCAGGUGGACCCUGGAGAGCAACAGGAGACACUGGGCAGCAAUGCUCCAGACCUGGAGACCGCACGGAUCCGCGGAGGCCUUGGCUCUUCUCUCCUUCAUCAGUUCCUACACAAUGUGAUGUCCCACCUUGGUAACCUUUUCCCAGUAAUACUCCCUGGCCCUGGAGUCACUCUUCUCUCACUUUUUUGAAUGCUGGCUGGCUCUAAUCCUUGGUGAAUGCCCACCAGCCAGAACUGUCCUGACCACAACGGGCUCUAAGAUGGCAAGUUCCUCUGUCCCGAGACCCUGGUUCCUCCACAUUUGGGUCCUCCACCUGUUCAGACCCCGCCCCCCCAGGAGGGGCAACCCCUGUUCUGCAUCCCGCAUCUCCAUCCACAGCAGUGAUCUGCUGCCCAGGAGCAAGGCCGGGGUGACUGGGGACUGUGCCAGUGGCCUCGAGGUAUCCUCAGGAGCAGCUGAAAUAAGUCAACACCUCACCACGUGUGUCACCUGGCUCCCAUAAGCCCCGCAGUCAGGAGUGGCCAUGCCACCACGUCCCUCCCAAGUCUCUGUCAUCCCCACGCCACAGGCUCUGGGGCACAUGACCCGGAAGUGCUGUCUCCAGGGUCGGGUUGACAGCUGGAGCAUUACUGAUUCAGAUGUGUUUUUCUGUUUCCAUCAAGGGUCCACCCCAGCUAGGGGCUGCUAGCCAACACCUGAAAGCCUGAGAGCUGCCGGGUGUUUGCGAUGGUAAAAUUUUCCACCUUCCCCAGCGAAGGCCCAGGCCAAAGGAAGUAGGUCCCUUGGCAGAGAGGCACUUGGGAAAGGCCCAGCUGGACAAGAACGGUGUCCUGCCUCCAGGCCAGGGCUGCCAUCCCCAGCUGCUGGGGCUGACCAGGUGGAGGGUGCCAGAAGGACCAGAUUAGGUCACUGCUGAGGAUCUCAAUGAAGGUGCCAGAAUCCCCUGCUUCAUCAGCACCUGCCUGAGUCCGUCAGCAUGGGUGCCGUCACCCCCAACCUAACCCCCCCCCCCCACCCCAACUGCUGUCUGGCCCACUGUCCUCUGCUGUCCUUGCCUGGCACGAUGACUUCUGGGACCUCGCACCCUCCCAGAACCUGGAUGGCUCAACCCACUUGCAGUCAUGAUGCCCAGGGGGCUGAGUGCUCCCUGCCAGAUGUCACCUGUUCGCAUCACAUCAUUGCAGGCCCGCCGUCCCUGGAGUUAAUGGCCUAAAACAAGUUAUUUUGUUCACAGAUCCGUAGUUUAGUCAGGGCUCUGUGGAGACCAUCCAUCUCUGCUCCACUUGGUGUUGUCCGGGUCAGCCAGGAGGCCGGGCCAGGUCCCCUGAAGACUCAUUCACUCCCAGUGGGCUUGGUGAGUGCCUUGGGGACGCAGGCAGCUGGGCUGCUGGGCUUCUCUCUCUCAUUCUGGGUUCUCCACAUGGUCUCGCCAGUGUGAGGCUUCUGGGUAGCCAAACUUUUUUUUUUUUUUUAAUUGAAAUGAGAACAGAAAAUCCACUCUCUUAAACGAACAACUCAGUGGCAUUUAGGACAUCUGCGAUGUUGUGCAAAGAGCUCCUCUGUCUGGGUCUAGAACAUUUUUGUCACCCAAAAAGGAAACCCACCCCCAAGCAGCAGUCAGUCCCCACUGUCCUCUCCCCAUGACCCCUCGUGAUCACCCAUCUGCUUUCCAUCUCUGUGGCUCUGCCCAUUCUGACAUUUCCCUUCAAUGGAACCCUAUCCUGUGUGACCUGUGACUGGCUGGUUGGACUCAGCCUCAUGUUUUUGAGGUUUGUCUACACUGCAGCAUGUGUAUUUGAUUUCUUUUCCUGGCCGAAUUCUAGGACUACACCCCCAUUUUGUUUAUGGUUCCAUCCCCUGGUGGAUGCCUGGGCAGUUCCCACCUUCGGGGCUGCUGUGAACGGAGCGACUGUGAACAUGUCUGUACGCACACGAGUGGCUGCUUUCAAGUCUUUGGGUGGAUUCCAAGCAGUGGAACUGCCGGCGUAUGGUAAUUCCAGAUCUAGCUCGGAGCCAAACUAUCGCGCCUGCCGUGUGCUCGUUGUUGGAAGAGCCAGCAAGCAGCCAAAGCCCACACCUUUUGAGGGAAAGGCCUCCAGUCUUUAAUGGGAGGAGUGUCAAAGAAUUUAGGGGCCAGUUUUAAGUCACAAGAUCUUCAUGACAUUUCUCACUCAGAGGCCCCAGGAACACAGACCAGCACACCGCUCCGUCAUCGAGACAGUCUACCAGUGGAGCCAAGUGGGCCCUGCUGCGGAGCCCACUCACAUGCAGACUCCAGCCCAUCUCAGCCCGAGACAAAGGGAAGGGCCUUUAGGCCCCCGGGUCAUGCUGGGUUACUGUUUCCUACCCAGCUUCAACUCUCACCAAGGAAAAAGUAAAAACAGGACUACAAAAUUAGGCUCAGAGAUGAAGAAUUAGAAAUCACGGCAAAUCUCAAAGUUGACACAUACCCAGACAUCAAAAAUGCUGGAAAACCGACACAGCUGUUCAGCGACCAUGGCAUGUGUCUGUGAUGCCUGGCCCUCGCUGUUGGGCUGUGCACUCCCUGAUCACCCUUCGCAGGAGAACGAGCUCCUGAGCCUGUGUAAGGACAGAAAGCCUCCUCAAUCUUUCCUCCAGUGUGGUUGACCAAACUUGGAAUUACUGAUACUUUAGAAGAGUUUGUUUCAUCUUCACAGCUUACGUGGGCAGGGACAUUAAGUUUUCAGAACCAUUGUCGAAUGUGGGGCAACCAUGAUUGGGUUUCCUGAGCAGCUGUGUGAGCUGCAGGAUUCCAGGACAUGUCAAGAAUUCCCAGACUAAUCUUUAACCUGCUUCUGCAAACAAGGAACAGCGCAUUCACAGUUGGGCGUGGCUGCCAGGCCAGCGUAUUCCUCCAACAGGAGCAAACUUCCACCUUGAGCAGGCAUGGUUGAGAAGCAAAUCUUCCUGUUUUGAGUUUAUACAUCCAACAACUGGAAGAAUAUUCUGCACACUAGCUUCUGGCUCUACAUGUUUCAAGUCUUGUCUCUCCUCCAUUGACUCCCAUCAUUCAAGUCACAACAGGGGUGAUCAGCACGGAGGACAGUGUGUAGUACACACCUCAGCUUAGUCUGUUGUGUGACCACCGAACUGCCCUGCCCCGCCCAGAGCGUGUUCCCCCGCCUAGUCCGGCAUGGAUGGCACCACCAUGCUUCUGUCAGGCCAAAGCAAUGAAGUCACCUACAGCCCCUCUCGCUCACCCACGGCCCAUCUGUCAGCAACUCCUAGGGUCGCUACCUUCAGCCUGAGUCCAGACUCUGACUUCUCGGCCCGUCUGGUGCCCUGAGCUCUGCGCCACCACCAUCUACCUACCACCUGGAUUAUCAAGUAGCCUCCUGGGCCUCCCACCGCCUCCCUUGCAGGCUGUUCUCCUUUACAACCCACACCUCCAAUCCUGGGUGUUCCCCAUCUCAGAUAAGAGCCCCCAGACCCUGUACUUCUUAACUAUCUCCCCCACCCAUUUUGUAUCACACAUUUAUUCGCUGCUUUUGUCCCCUUGCCCACCACAACAGACAGUAUUUUUAGUCCUGACUGUAUCCCUAGCACCCGGAUUGGAGCCAAGCACAUUCCAGCUGUUCAGUGAGAGCCCCCACAGCCAGGGCUCUGGGCUGGAAGGGCCCCAGACAUACAAGGUGUGCACCAAGAGCUUCUGCCUUUAGGAACUGUGUCCUGGCGACUUGCCCUUUCCUUUGGGCAUUGUGUCACACAGAGUAGAACCCCACAUAGAUCCCCUGCCCCUUACCUCUUCCUACUGUCUAGUGGGCCUGGGCCUGUGUGGUCCAAAGACCACAGUUCCCCCUACCAUGGAGGUCAGUUCAUUCGCACAUCUGACCCUGUGGCCUCCCUGCUCCCAAAGCCUUCCACAGCCCUGGCCCAUCAAACCCACACUCCUCCCUGCAACAGCUCAGGCUCUUACCAGCCCAGGGAGGAGAACAGUACAGGGUUACCUGACGAAGCUGGGGUGGGAAAGAAGCGCCAGGAACAAAAGGCCCAGCCUGGCCUCCCAAGUCUGUGGACCCAACAAGGUGUCACGCAUGAACCCAUUACCCACAGGAGUGAAACUCUGAGUCCUGGGGAGCCUCUCACUUGCGAACAGUUUAAUUGCUCAAACCCAUGAGGCCAGCCCCCCAUAGCCCAGAGGCCGCAUGUGAGCCCCGGUGGCGCAUGCCCCUUUCCAGCCUGGCCCUGUCCCGCAGGUCCUGAGGCAAGCUAUCAGUUUUAUUUUGUCCCAUUUGCCAAAGCCCACCUGUGUCCCCACCCCCUUUGCUCCUGGCUUGCAAUCCAGUCACUGACUGGGAACAAACACCUUUAUAGGUAAACCCGGGAACAGGAUACAGGUCAAGGGAAAUGAAUCUGCUGGGUGUUCUGGGUUACACGUAACUGGGACAGCACAUGAGCAAGGUCUACACCAGAAGCUCCCGGCUGGCCUGGCCAGAAUUACCCCCUGAGUUUUCCUCAAGUGCCCAGUGCACAGGAAGUGCUCGAUGAAGUGGGGUAACAUGUCCCACGGUGUGGUGGUAAUGAAAAGGCCCCGUGGUUUAAAAAAAAAAAAAAAAAAAAAAAGCCCUGCGUCACGUGCCACAAUGCACCAGCACCUGCAUCUUUCACAGCGUCUCUGGCCAAGAAACCCAGACUCCACUCUGCAUCACCGGGGCUCCUGAGCCUCUUGAAAUCCUGACAGUCUGGGAGAGCUGUUCCCUUUCCAUCAUGUUUAAAACUUUAAAAAAUUGCUACAUAUGAAUAUAGUUGUAGGAGUGGUAAACACAUGGCUCACCACAUUCCCGUCCUCCGUCCCCAGAGAAAACCACUGAACUUAGCUUUGUCCUCUGCAUUUACCUCCACAUUUCUAGGUAACGUGCUUCUACUGAGCUCUUGAAUUUUCAGUUUUACGCAUCAUCUGCUGGAUUCCUACUAUGGUCAAUGAGAACUUCGCCCCAUCAUGCUCUGCACAUACGUUCCCGGUCCCCUUAGGAGAGUUCUGUUGUCAGUUUUUGCCAGAGCAACAUGCAUCAUCUGUGUGUUCAUUAUUCCUAUGUAAUCACAGCGGAGUCAUGUAAGGCCUAUGGUUCCUCUUCCUUAGUAUUUCUGUGGCAUUAAUAAACGGUGUAUUUUUACUUGCUUAA